GUGACUAUUCCUCCAACUACAAUUACUAUAAGCGUACCCAAUCCGGAAAACCAAUGAUAGGACAAUAGGUAAAGAGCAAAAACAUCAUCUUCGCUGAAAAUAGAAAAUAUAAUUACAAGAAAGCUUGACUUAUAUUUCCUGGACACUGAGCAAGUGGUACCGGAAGCUUCUUAGGUACUAUGACACCGGCACUGAUCGAUAUAUUUGCUCCGAAACAUGCCCAACCAGCUAUUAAAAAUCCCACAACGGCACCUACGAAUGCACCCUAAAAGUAAGAAAAUUAAAAUGUUAUAUUACAUAUAUUUUUUCAAAAUAACAAAUAAUCAUUUUAAUUAAUUUAUUACCUGAGAAUUAGUCCAUGGAAAAAGCAUUCCAAGAGUGAAGACUCCAAAGGAAAUUCCUGCGGCAAUUGCGGCUAAACUGUUUGUAACC